rnacentral:rRNA from 1 species
CAGGCCUAACACAUGCAAGUCGAGCGGACAGAUGGGAGCUUGCUCCCUGAUGUUAGCGGCGGACGGGUGAGUAACACGUGGGUAACCUGCCUGUAAGACUGGGAUAACUCCGGGAAACCGGGGCUAAUACCGGAUGCUUGAUUGAACCGCAUGGUUCAAUUAUAAAAGGUGGCUUUUAGCUACCACUUACAGAUGGACCCGCGGCGCAUUAGCUAGUUGGUGAGGUACCGGCUCACCAAGGCAACGAUGCGUAGCCGACCUGAGAGGGUGAUCGGCCACACUGGGACUGAGACACGGCCCAGACUUCCUACGGGAGGCAGCAGUAGGGAAUCUUCCGCAAUGGACGAAAGUCUGACGGAGCAACGCCGCGUGAGUGAUGAAGGUUUUCGGAUCGUAAAACUCUGUUGUUAGGAAAGACCA